UAAUAGCUCACUGGUCGAGUCGGCCUGCGCGGAAGAUGUAACGGGGCUAAACCAUGCACCGAAGCUGCGGCAGCGACGCUUAUGCGUUGUUGGGUAGGGGAGCGUUCUGUAAGCCUGUGAAGGUGUGCUGUGAGGCAUGCUGGAGGUAUCAGAAGUGCGAAUGCUGACAUAAGUAACGAUAAAGCGGGUGAAAAGCCCGCUCGCCGGAAGACCAAGGGUUCCUGUCCAACGUUAAUCGGGGCAGGGUGAGUCGACCCCUAAGGCGAGGCCGAAAGGCGUAGUCGAUGGGAAACAGGUUAAUAUUCCUGUACUUGGUGUUACUGCGAAGGGGGGACGGAGAAGGCUAUGUUGGCCGGGCGACGGUUGUCCCGGUUUAAGCGUGUAGGCUGGUUUUCCAGGCAAAUCCGGAAAAUCAAGGCUGAGGCGUGAUGACGAGGCACUACGGUGCUGAAGCAACAAAUGCCCUGCUUCCAGGAAAAGC
rnacentral:rRNA from 1 species